UUCACUUUAGUGAAAGCACAAUUUUGUAUGGACCUUGAACAAAAUUACCACAAUCUAAACACUGGACAUCCGAGAGACGGACACACUUGAAAGAGACAUUUGAGACACAAAGCAGAGUGACCAGUCCAACACUGAGAGGAAGAUGUGUCGCUCACUGCUCUUCCUGCUGCUCAUCGCUGGAGCUCUGCUGAUCUCUACUGAGGGUCAGCAGGAUUAUCACACGCUCACUGGAAUACACAAGGACGCUGUUAACAAGGCAAUUCAACACUGCAAUGAAAAAUCCUCAAAGCAUGUGAAUUUCCUUGGCUUCCUUCCUGAUUCAGAGAAAUCUGAUCCAUUUUACAUUGAGCUUCACUUGAAAGUCACCACCUGCACAAAAACAGAAAAGACCACACAUCGAGAUGACUGCCCAUUUAUGAACCGAAGGCCAAUAAUCAACUGUGCUAUUUGCAAUAAAGGGACUGGGUCUGGCCUCGACAUUCAUUGCGCUACGCAACUGCAACUAAAUCAGUCCAUGGAAGAGCGGAAGAAAGUGUGCCCAAUUGACGUCUUAGAUGUAAUCAGUGUAAACACACUGAAAAAACAGGAAAAACCACCUGCUGAGUGUCUUGGGUGCUUCUGAAUGUCCCGGCGGGUUUGGGCUGUCCGAUCCCCAAAUUCAGUGCAAUGAAGGCUCUGUGACAGUUUCAUGUCCGAAAUACUGUGCUGUAUUCUAUUCCCUCCUUUGGCAGAAUGUACUCAAAUUGCUUUAUUUGUAUAGCACCUUUCAUACAGAAUGCUGCUGAAAGUGCUUAGCAGGACUAAUGAAACCAAGGAAGACAGAGAAUAACACAAUGAUAAUAGUCGAUUAUACAAAUUAAAAUAAUAAAACUAAAUAAAGAGGGAAUCAAAUAAAAUCUUUUCAAAAGACCUGCUUGCAUGCAGUGAUUACACAUCUAUUCCAUGUAGAAACUUUGACUGUUGGAACUUGGAACUUGGACUGUUGAAGGUUUGACUGUUGGAACUUCAAAUAUGUACAGAUUACAGUGUUUACCACAGGAAGUUAAUCUUCGGAUUUGGGGGGGCAAGCAAACACAUUUUUGUUUUUCCGAAGGAGGGAAACAAAUUUUUACUUGCUCAAGUCAUUCAUGAAUUUUUGAUACUCUGUGCAAUAUGUGAUGCCCACUAAAAUGUGAUCACAUUAGUGAUGUUAUUUUUGCGAGUUUAUCAUUUUAUUUUCCAGGUAAAAUCUGUCUAUUUGUUUCACGAUAAUGAUUUUACCUAAAUUGCCUGUAAUAGGAAUUGCACGACACCAGAUGGCCCUGUGACAUGGUUGAGUCUCGGUAUUGGACUUGGCGAGGGCUCUCCAUAACUUUGAGAGACUUCGUGAAAACAGGUCACGUCUAACUGACUUCAUUUUUGUGACUGUUUUCCAGGUUAGUAAAGUGUCACAAGCACCAUGUAUUGUGUAAUUCAGUUUUAUAAAAUCAGUAUAGAGUUUGAUUUACGUUUGUCAGACUGGUGAAUGUCCAGUUUGUCCUAGUUUGGUGUAAAUUAGCUAAUGUAGGCUAACUAAGAUGUGAGAAGUUAGCUAACGUUAGCCAGUAAUGUUAUGAACGCUCCGAACGCUAGCUAACUAUAUAACUUAUUUGAAUUAAUUUUACCGUUACUAAGCAAAGUUAACGUUAGCCCUACGUUCGUUUCCUGUGAAAUUUGGAAAGUUAGCGAACAUUGCUUGUUUUCCUGUUUGGGGCGAAGUUCGGUAAUGUUAGCUACCAAGGGCAUAUGCUCAUAUUCGUUUGGAUAUCAAUUCAGUUACUGAUGUAAAGUCAGCCCAGAUUGGCACUGCCGCUAUUCUAGCUAACAUUAACGUACUCUGUUCUCCAAUUAACGUUAUGUGCCGUUGUUGUAGAGACAACGGGAUUCAGCACUCGGCGCUGUGAUAGCUUUGUAUCCUGUCCUGUAAAUGGCUCCACGUAUCCCUUUCCUUUCAAUUUUAUAUUUUUGGCUGGCUCACUAGUUUCAAGUUUAAUGAAACGGUUCAAUUGUUUAAACUAUAGAAUAAUAUGCAAGUUAAUUAUUCAUCACUGAUGCAUGUCCGAGGAUACUGGGAAGUAUGUAAAGUGCAUUGAGGAUGCUGAUGCAGAAUAUAAACACAUGUUUAGGAAUGACCAUUUAUUUUGAGUGUCUAUAAACAAGAUAUAAAUGUCUAGUGAAUAGAGAUGGAAAGUGUAUGGGGAAGAUAUUGUUUUUGAUAGUGACCAUUGUAUUUUGAGUGUUCUAUGAACAAGAUAUAAAUGUCAAGAGACAGACAAUGGUUAUAUCUGUACAGCAGUACAAGUAACUCUAUUAAAGGGACAGUGCAGGCAGGGGUGAUAAUUUUAAUACUUGUGAUAAUUGUAAUAAUUGUGAUAAUUGUAAAUAAAGAUAACUUUGAGAGACUUCGUGAAAACAGGUCACAUCUAACUGACUCUUCAUUUUUGUGACUGUUUUCCAGAUAUUUAAAAAUAUCACUGUCUAUGCGUACCACGCCCGGUACGUGUAACAAAUACAGAACAUUUGAGACACAGCAGAGUGACCAGUCCAACACUGACAGGAAUAUGUGUCGCUCACUGCUCAUCCUGCUGCUCAUCGCUGGAGUUCUGCUGAUCUCUACUGAGGGUCAGCAGGAUUAUCACACACUCACUGGUAUAUACAAGGAUGCUGUUGACAAGGCAAUUCAACACUGCAAUGAAAAAUCCUCAAAGCAUGUUAAUUUCCUUGGCUUCCUUCCUGAUUCAGAGAAAUCUGGUCCAUUUUACAUUGAGCUUCACUUGAAAGUCACCACCUGCACAAAAACAGAAAAGACCACACAUCGAGAUGACUGCCCAUUUAUGGACCGAAGGCCUAAAAUCAACUGUGCUGUUUGCAAUAAAGGGAUUGAGUCCGGCCUCGACAUUCACUGCGCUGCGCAACUGCAAGUAAAUCAGUUCAUGGAAGAGCGGAGGAAAGUGUGCCCAAUUCACGUCUUAGGGGCAGGCAGUGUAAACUCACUGAAGAAACUGGAAAAACCACCUGCUGAGUGUCUUGGGUGCUUCUGAAUGUCCCGGCGGGUUUGGGCUGUCCGAUCCCCAAAUUCAGUGCAAUGAAGGCUCUGUGACAGUUUCAUGUCUGAAAUACUGUGCUGUAUUCUAUUCCCUCCUUUGGCAGAAUGUACUCAAAUUGCUUUAUUUGUUUAGCACCUUUCAUACAGAAUGCUGCUGAAAGUGCUUAGCGAGACUAAUGAGACCAAGGAAGACAGAGAAUAACACAAUGAUAAUAGUCGAUUUAUACAAAUUAAAAUAAUAAAACUAAAUUAAGAGGGAAUCAAAUAAAAUCUUUUCAAAAGAACUGCUUGCAUGCAGUGAUAACACAUCUAUUCCAUGUAGAAACUUUGACUGUUGGAACUUGGAACUUGGACUGUUGAAGGUUUGACUGUUGGAACUUCAAAUAUGUACAGAUUACAGUGUUUACCACAGGAAGUUAAUCUUCGGAUUUGGGGGGGCAAGCAAACACAUUUUUGUUUUUCUGAAGGAGGGAAGCAAAUUUUUACUUGCUCAAGUCAUUCAUGAAUUUUUGAUACUCUGUGCAAUAUGUGAUGCCCACUAAAAUGUGAUCACAUUAGUGAUGUUAUUUUUGCGAGGUUAUAAUUUUAUUUUCCAGGUAAAAUCUGUCUUUGUUUCACGAUAAUGAUUUUACCUAAAUUGCCUGUAAUAGCAAUUGCACGACACCAGAUGACAUGGUUGAGUCUAGGUAUUGGACUUGGCGAGGGCUCGCCAUAACUUUGAGAGACUUCGUGAAUAAAGUUCACGUCUAACUGACUCUUCAUUUUUGUGACUGUUUUCCAGGUUAGUAAAGUGUCACAAGCACCAUGUAUUGUGUAAUUCAGUUUUAUAAAAUCAGUAUAGAGUUUGAUUUACGUUUGUCAGAUUGGUGAAUGUCCAGUUUGUCUAGUUUGGUGUAAAUUAGCUAAUGUAGGCUAACUAAGAUGCGAGAAGUUAGCUAACGUUAGCCAGUAAUGUUAUGAAUGCUCUGAACGCUAGCUAACUAUAUAACUUAUUUGAAUAAAUUUUACCGUUACUAAGCAAAGUUAACGUUAGCCCUACGUUAGUUUCCUGUGAAAUUUGGAAAGUUAGCGAACAUUGCUUGUUUUCUUGUUUGACGCGAAAUUAGGUAAUGUUAGCUACCAAGGGCAUAUGCUCAUAUUCGUUUGGAUAUCAAUUCAGUUACUGAUGUAAAGUUAGCCCAGAUUGCCACGGCCGCUUUUCUAGCUAACAUUAACGUACUCUGUUCUCCAAUUAACGCUGUGUGCCGUUGUAGAGACAACGGGAUUCAGCACUCGGUGCUGAUAGCUUUGUAUCCUGUCCUGUAAAUGGCUCCACGUAUCCCAUUCCUUUUAAUUUUAUAUUUUUGGCUGGCUCAAUAGUUUCAAGUUUAAUGAAACGGUUCAAUUGUUUAAACUAUAGAAUAAUAUGCAAGUUAAUUAUUCAUAACUGUGAUGCAUGUCCGAGGAUACUGGGAAGUAUGUAAAGUGCAUUGAGGAUGCUGAUGCAGAAUAUAAACACAUGUUUAGGAAUGACCAUUUAUUUUGAGUGACUAUAAACAAGAUAUAAAUGUCUAGUGAAUAGAGAUAUGGAAAGUGUAUGGGGAAGAUAUUGUUUUUGAUAGUGACCAUUGUAUUUUGAGUGUUCUAUGAACAAGAUAUAAAUGUCUAGAGACAGAGACGAUGGUUAUAUCUGUACAGCAGUACAAGUGACUCUAUUAAAGGGACAGUGCAGGCAGGGGUGAUAAUUGUAAUACUUGUGAUAAUUGUAAUAAUUGUAAUAAUUGUGAUAAUUGUGAUAAUUGUAAAUAAAGAUAACUUUGAGAGACUUCGUGAAAACAGGUCACAUCUAA